GAACGCACAUUGCGCCCCCUGGUAUUCCGGGGGGCAUGCCUGUCCGAGCGUCAUUGCUGCCCUCAAGCACGGCUUGUGUGUUGGGCCUCCGUCCUCCUCCCGGGGGACGGGCCCGAAAGGCAGCGGCGGCACCGCGUCCGGUCCUCGAGCGUAUGGGGCUUCGUCACCCGCUCUUGUAGGCCCGGCCGGCGCUUGCCGACACAUCAAUCUUUUUUCCAGGUUGACCUCGGAUCAGGUAGGGAUACCCGCUGAACUUA
rnacentral:misc_RNA from 1 species